GACGAACGCUGGCGGCGUGCUUAACACAUGCAAGUCGAGCGGAGCGGCGAACGGGUGAGUAACGCGGGAGGAACUGCCCCCCUCUCUGGGAUAACAGUUGGAAACGGCUGCUAAUACAGGAUAUUGGGGGAUGACUCGCGUCCUAUCAGCUUCGUGGUGGGGUAGUGGCCUACCAGUGCGACGACGGGUAGCCGGCCUGAUGUGGCGACCGGCCACAUUGGGCUGAGCAACCGCCCAAAUUCCUCCGUGAGGCAGCAGUGGGGAAUAUUGCACAAUGGGGGAAACCCUGAUGCAGCAACGCCGCGUGCGGGAUGACGGCCUUCGGGUUGUAAACCGCUUUCAGCCAUGACGCGGUAGUGGCAGAAGAAGCACCGGCUAACUACGUGCCAGCAGCCGCGGUAAUUC
rnacentral:rRNA from 1 species